AUGGGCCUCUGCACCUCUUCCAGCGCUGCCAGCCCCGCUGGCCCCGCGGGAAAUAAAGAGAAGGGGAGGAAGGGCAGCGGCGGGUGCAGGGGGAUCAUUGCGUGCGGGAAGCGGACGGACUUCGGCUACGACAAGGACUUCGAGGCGCGGUACGCACUCGGGAAGCUGCUGGGACACGGCCAAUUCGGCUACACCUUCGCUGCCGUCGACCGCCAGUCCGAUGAGCGCGUCGCCGUCAAGCGCAUCGACAAGAACAAGAUGGUCCUUCCUGUUGCUGUUGAAGAUGUAAAGCGAGAAGUUAAAAUACUCAAGGCCUUACAUGGGCAUGAAAAUGUUGUACAUUUUUACAAUGCAUUCGAGGAUGAUAACUACAUAUAUAUUGUUAUGGAAUUAUGUGAGGGUGGUGAGUUGCUUGACCACAUAUUAGCCAAAAAAGAUAGCCGUUAUAGCGAAAAAGAUGCUGCAGUAGUUGUACGACAGAUGCUCAAGGUUGCAGCUGAGUGCCAUUUGCAUGGUUUGGUUCACCGAGAUAUGAAACCUGAGAACUUCCUCUUCAAGUCAUCAAAGGAGGGCUCCCCCCUCAAGGCUACAGAUUUUGGCCUUUCAGACUUUAUAACACCAGGGAAGCAGUUUCGUGACAUUGUUGGAAGUGCCUACUAUGUAGCACCAGAAGUGCUUAAGCGCAAGUCAGGGCCGGAAUCCGAUGUUUGGAGCAUUGGUGUUAUUACAUAUAUUCUGUUGUGCGGAAGACGACCUUUCUGGGACAAAACUGAAGAUGGAAUCUUUAAAGAGGUGUUAAAAAACAAGCCAGACUUUCGUCGGAAGCCUUGGGCAAACAUUACUCCAAGUGCUAAAGAUUUUGUACAGAAGUUACUAGUUAAGGAUCCCCGUGCAAGACUAACUGCUGCUCAGGCAUUAUCACAUGAAUGGGUCAGAGAAGGAGGGCAGGCAUCUGAAAUACCCCUGGACAUAUCAGUAUUGCAUAAUAUGCGACAGUUUGUGAAAUACAGUCGUUUCAAACAGUUUGCUUUAAGGGCAUUAGCAUCUACAUUAAAUCCAGAAGAACUGUCUGAUCUUCGUGACCAGUUCAAUGCCAUUGAUAUUGACAAGAGUGGAACGAUUAGCCUGGAAGAACUGAAGCAGGCUCUUGCAAAGGAUGUUCCAUGGAGAUUAAAGGGUCCUCGUGUUCUUGAAAUUGUUGAGGCGAUUGACAGUAACACUGAUGGAUUUGUUGAUUUCGAAGAGUUUGUUGCUGCCACACUACAUGUGCAUCAGCUGGUGGAACAUGAUACUGAGAAGUGGAAAUCAUUGUCUCAGGCUGCAUUUGAUAAAUUCGAUGUUGACGGUGAUGGCUAUAUCACAUCUAAUGAACUGAGAAUGAAUACAGGACUGAAGGGUUCUAUUGACCCCCUCCUAGAGGAGGCUGAUAUUGACAAAGAUGGCAAAAUAAGCCUUGAUGAAUUUCGCAGGCUCUUGAAAACUGCAAGCAUGAGUUCACGCAACCCAACUCCACGGAGUGUUUCCAAGUAA
rnacentral:rRNA from 1 species